AGUGAACGCUGGCGGUAGGCCUAACACAUGCAAGUCGAACGGCAGCACAGUAAGAGCUUGCUCUUACGGGUGGCGAGUGGCGGACGGGUGAGGAAUACAUCGGAAUCUACUUUUUCGUGGGGGAUAACGUAGGGAAACUUACGCUAAUACCGCAUACGACCUACGGGUGAAAGCAGGGGAUCUUCGGACCUUGCGCGAUUGAAUGAGCCGAUGUCGGAUUAGCUAGUUGGCGGGGUAAAGGCCCACCAAGGCGACGAUCCGUAGCUGGUGUGAGAGGAUGAUCAGCCACACUGGAACUGAGACACGGUCCAGACUCCUACGGGAGGCAGCAGUGGGGAAUAUUGGACAAUGGGCGCAAGCCUGAUCCAACCAUACCGCGUGGGUGAAGAAGGCCUUCGGGUUGUAAAGCCCUUUUGUUGGGAAAGAACAGCAGCAGGUUAAUACCCCGCUGUUCUGACGGUACCCAAAGAAUAAGCACCGGCUAACUUCGUG
rnacentral:rRNA from 1 species